UUAAAAUUAUUUUCUUUUAUAUUAUUUCUAAUUCUUCAAUUCGUCAAACACAGAUUUUCAGUCACGAUGAUUCACUUUAAUUACGCACUUGAUUAUUUUCAACUGAUAUUGAUAUGCACUUUCACUAUGGAGUAAAUUGGAAACGCCACACGCCUUAGGACUCGCAGAUUUUCCACAGGAACAACAGGGUCGAGACUAAGUGUUCGCCAGGAUAAUGCGGCGUAUUUGAGCACGAAAUUCUUCUUAAUUAUUGGAAUUGAGAUGGAUAUGAGUUUGAUGCACUUCUUGACACUCGCGGCAAAGUCACUUUAGUUUUCACUUUUA